UGGGUUUUUGUAUGUGGUGUGUAUAUAUUGGGAUUGUAGCUAGUGGGGUGAUCUAGCAAAGUCUAUGGCUGUCUGGAGUGGUUCUCAAUCAGAGGCAGGUGUUUAUCGUUGUCUCUGAUUGGGAACCAUAUUUAGGCAGCCAUAUUCUUUGAGUUUGUCGUGGGUGAUUGUCCUUAGUGUCCUUGUUCCUGGCUAUGUGUUAGUGUACACAAAUAUAGGCUGUUUCGGUUUUCAUUUAAGUUUAUUGUUUUUUUUUGUAGUGUUUGUAUUUAGAUUCGUGUUACGUUUGUUUAUUAAAACACGGAUCGCAAUCUACACGCUGCAUUUUGGUCCGACUCUUCUUCACACCAAGAGAACCGUUACAGACGUCAUAAGAACCUACGUGGCCUUAUGAAAAGGGCCAGUAUGCAUGCGCCAUCUUGCCAUGGAAACUCGGAGCAUGUCCAUGCCUGCAGAAUCUCCCAGUGGGGGUACAACACUGAGUGUUGGAGUCAGAGCAGAUCCCCACCAGCUGCAACCUGUUCCAUAAUCAAGACCUCUACAAAUACUCAGUCCUGCCACUUCCACACUGCCAGAUCGUAAUCUCUGCCCAGUCAGUACAUUUUUCAAGCAAUUUGUUCCUGUUUUCCCUUGCCUGACACUGUUUUCCCCUCCGCUACAGUUCUGCCCGCUCUGACUCUGGUCCCUGUCUCCAGUCCGACUUCUCGUCAGUCCUGCUACUCUGUCCUGGAUACUCCACUCUACGCUCCCUUGGAUUCCCCUCCGGACCUGCUUACCCUGUCCCCACACCUCUCGCUCCAGCCUUAGCCUCCGCACAUGGUUUCCAGCAACCCGCCUGGGCUUCCCCAAGCCUGCACUCAAUCUUCCCCCCAUGUUUCAAUAAAUACCUUGGUUACCUCA